AAGGCAAAAGCAAGGUCAGGGAACCGGCAAAUUGCCAGAAUCCUAGGAAAGCUUAGUAGUAAAAUCACUAGUUACGGCUGUAGAAUGACCAAUGACCGGUUUAAAUAUCCCUCCGGCAGGGUUCCCAUCUCCAAAUUGGCUACCCAGGCCUGCAACACAGUGAUGCCUGGCUUUCUGCCAAAUAGAGCCGGAUAUAAUAAUGACAUCUUGAUGCUCCCGGCAGCAACCUGCAGAGACAUGGUGCAGGAGCCAGGCAAACAUAAUCACAAGGGAACCUAAAAGAAGUGGCUGUCCAAAUGCUAUAGACUGCUCCAAGGAAAACUUGCAGGAAGCCUUCCAUUUUGUUUGAAUGUGAUUCCUGAGAUAUUCUACUGUGAUAUGUUAUUAGUACAUAGAAAAAGAAGUUCUUUCAUACCCAAAGCACAACAUUUCCAGUCUAACCUGCUUGGAUUUGUGAAUUCCUUCAUGCGUGGCAUAUAUCUACAAAAUCCACAUCGCCCACAUGGAUGUGAGCCUUUCAAUGAUGACUGCAACCAUGUACUUUG